rnacentral:rRNA from 1 species
AGUGAACGCUGGCGGCAGGCCUAACACAUGCAAGUCGAACGGCAGCGGGUCCUUCGGGAUGCCGGCGAGUGGCGGACGGGUGAGGAAUACAUGGGAAUCUGCCCAGUCGUGGGGGAUAACGUAGGGGAACUUACGCUAAUACUGCAUAAGUCCCUGCGGGGAGAAAGGUGGCCUCUUUGCUGCCGCUAAAGGAUAAGCUUGCGGGCUAUUAGCUAGUUGGUGAGGUAAUGGCCCACCAAGGCGAUGAUGGCUAGCCGGCCUGAGAGGGUGUACGGCCACACUGGAACUUAGACACGGUCCAGACUCCUACGGGAGGCAGCAGUGAGGAAUAUUGCGCAAUGGGCGAAAGCCUGACGCAGCGACGCCGCGUGGAGGAUGAAGGUCUUAGGAUUGUAAACUCCUGUUAAGUGGGAAGAAAGACUCAUUUUUAAUAAAAAUGAGAGAUGACUGUACCAUUAGAGAAAGCACCGGCUAACUUCGUGCCAGCAGCCGCGGUAACAC